AUGCAUGCGGUGGCGAACAUAUAUUACUUUUUUUGUUAAUAGAAUGUCGAACCACCCGUUAUUUUGUUAGAAUUGUAUGUAUUACAAAAUUUCAGUUUAUUUAAAUUUUUUCCGAAAAAAUCAAAUUAGCGCUUAUAGCGCCACUACAUUUGUCGACUCGUAUCAUGAGAGUUCAUAGAGAACAAAUAUUCAAAGAGAACAUCUAUUAAAGAUUCUAGGGAAGUGAGGAAGAAUAUAGUAAGAACAGACGUAAAAUACAUAAUGUUGACUUGGUGAUUUGCUUUUCCAUCUAGGCUCUAUAGGUUUUUCCUUCAUGGUUAUCUAUAUAUCCGCAGCAUAAAUUGACAAUUAUUUAUGAAUCUAUGGAUUUUAUAGAUCUUGCUGUGUUACACGGUCUUGUCCAUCUUCUUGCCAUCUUUUAUUAAAAACGACGUUACGUCGCCAUUUUUAAAAUUUUGAAAUUUUAUUUGCUUUUCGAUUGAUGAUAAAUAAGAAUGGAAGAGUGUUCAUUUUGAUGCAACUGAAAAAAAAAGCAAGUUGACCGUCAUGGUUUCGUUUCAUUUUGGAGAAUCUUCUAAUUAAUUACGGAACAUUAAAAAAACCCUGGAUGGCAUUAAUUUACAGUGCCUUGGUUGUGUCAGUGUUCAUUCGAUUCAGAAAGUAGCUAUCCUAAAAAGAAGCACAAAAGUGCCUUUUUUUUCCAUUGAGAAAGGAUACAUUGUGGCAUUGAUAAAGGAAGGAUUUAUGACGAAUGAACUGAAGCGGCAGAAGCAAAAUGUGGAGCUGGCCAUUAGAAGUUGUAAUUAACAACGUUUUUUUGCCCGUUUCUAUAGAUUGUCCAAGUGAAAAGGAAGUAAUUCUGAUGGUACUGAAAGAGCUGAUGCUUUUGACGUCUUACCCUUGCAACAUAGUUUUGAACCUGUGAGGAGGCAUCUGGAUAUUAAUUUGGAAACGACUGAAACAACAAAUAGUCUGCAGUGGUAUUCCUCUUGGAUUUGGCUUGUUCAUUCGAUCUGUGGACCUUAAAAAGCUACUUUGUGCAGUUAAUUAAGAUUGCCCAACAAAUGAGUUCAGUUUGGCCCUACUCGAGCAACCGUCUACACUCUACAUGGGUGUGGUCUUUUCUCGACGUUGUUCGUGAUUUGAUAUUUUCAUCUUCACUUCGCAACACUACUAUGUAGUUGAUUUUCGGGCGAUUAGUGGGAAAAACUAAAGAUUUAUUUGAUUUCAAGUGGAACAACAAAAUUUCUGCUAUGGUGCUCCUGCUGGAGUUGGUUUGCUUUCCACGCCUGUAAACUUUGGAACAUUACGAUCUACAGUUAAUUAAGGUUAUAUAAUAAAUGGGAGAGAAUUAAAGUUCAGUUUGGUUAUACUGAAAGAGCCAAUGUCUACAUGGGUGUGGUCAUGCAUGGAUUAUAUUCUUGAUUUGCUGUUUCG